rnacentral:rRNA from 1 species
AUUGAACGCUGGCGGCAUGCCUUACACAUGCAAGUCGAACGGUAACGGGCCUUCGGGUGCCGACGAGUGGCGAACGGGUGAGUAAUGCAUCGGAACGUACCUUUCAGUGGGGGAUAACGUAGCGAAAGUUACGCUAAUACCGCAUAUUCUGUGAGCAGGAAAGCAGGGGAUCGCAAGACCUUGCGCUGAUUGAGCGGCCGAUGUCAGAUUAGCUAGUUGGUGAGGUAAAGGCUCACCAAGGCGACGAUCUGUAGCGGGUCUGAGAGGAUGAUCCGCCACACUGGAACUGAGACACGGUCCAGACUCCUACGGGAGGCAGCAGUGGGGAAUUUUGGACAAUGGGGGGCAACCCUGAUCCAGCCAUGCCGCGUGAGUGAAGAAGGCCUCGGUUGUAA